ACGACGCGGCAGGCUUCAUACAUGCAAGUCGAACGAUUAAAGCUCCUUCGGGAGUGUAUAAAGUGGCAAACGGGUGAGUAACAGGUGGAUAAUCUGCCCUUUGGCGGGGGAUAACGGUUGGAAACGGCCGCUAAUACCGCAUGUGAUUGCUAGUUCUUCGGAACCUGCAAAGAAAGGCGCUUCACGGCGCCGCCAAAGGAUGAGUCCGCCCCCCAUUAGCUAGUUGGUAAGGUAACGGCUUACCAAGGCUUCGAUGGGUAGCCGAGCUGAGAGGUUGAUCGGCCACACUGGGACUGAGAUACGGCCCAGACACCUACGGGUGGCAGCAGUAGGGAAUAUUGCGCAAUGGACGAAAGUCUGACGCAGCCAUGCCGCGUGAGUGAUGAAGGCCUUCGGGUCGUAAAGCUCUUUUCUGAGGGAAGAACAUCCGGUGCAGGAAAUGGCACCGGCUUGACGGUACCUCAGGAAUAAGGAGCGGCUAACUCCGUGCCAGCAGCCGCGGUAAUACGGAGGUUCCAAGCGUUGUUCGGAUUUACUGGGCGUAAAGGGAGCGCAGGCGGAAAGAUCAGUCUGAAGUGGAAUCCCGGGGCUCAACCUCGGAAGUGCUUUGGAUACUGUCUUUCUUGAGUCAGUGAGAGGAGAGCGGAAUUCAGGGUGUAGCGGUGAAAUGCUUAGAUAUCCUGAGGAACACCAAUGGCGAAAGCAGCUCUCUGGUGCUUGACUGACGCUGAGGCUCGAAAGCGUGGGUAGCGAACGGGAUUAGAUACCCCGGUAGUCCACGCCGUAAACGUUGUGCACUAGGUGUAGGAGGUAUCGACCCCUUCUGUGCCGCAGCUAACGCAAUAAGUGCACCGCCUGGGGAGUACGCACGCAAGUGUGAAACUCAAAGGAAUUGACGGGGGCCCGCACAAGCGGUGGAGCAUGUGGUUUAAUUCGAGGCAACGCGAAGAACCUUACCCAGGCUUGACAUCUCGAGACCGCCGUGGAAACACGGUUUCCCCUUCGGGACUUGGAGACAGGUGUUGCAUGGCCUGUCGUCAGCUCGUGUCGUGAGAUGUGGGGUUAAGUCCCGCAAUGAGCGCAACCCCUGUCCUAGUUACCAGCGGUUCGGCCGGUCCUCUAGAGACUGCCGUGAUAGCCGAGAGGUGGGACGACGUCAGUCAUCAUGGCCCUUACCGCCUGGGGGCCUACCCACCCGUGUCU
rnacentral:rRNA from 1 species